GAGCUGCUUUUCCCGGGAGAAGCUCGGGGUGAAGCCGUUUAAAACUGGGAUUUGGGAGCUUUCUGGUGCGCGCAGGGCUGGAUAUUGUGUGUGUUUGGCACUUAGGGAAAGUGUGUCCCUGCUCGGGAAUGUCGCAAUCCUGGCUCCUGGCUCGGUUUCAGCGCUCUGGGGAUAAUUCCAGGGGAAAUUCCGGGGCGGUUUUUUUUUUAACCCCCCUACUUUUUUUUGUUUGUUUGAUUCUGGGUUGAAAGGAAGAGUGAAAGGAGGGGGGGAAGGGGUUUUGGGGGCAGCAGCACUCUCGUGACUCGGUGUUGGGCAAUGGAGCAAUCCAGCUGGGAAAUAAACAGGAGCAGUUGGGAAAGAGCCCCAGCCCAGGUGUGGAGCAGGUGGUUGGGUUACUUGGCUGGAGCCCGGCCAGGAUUCAUGAUCCCUGGCUCAGUUUUCCUCCCAGCCCGGGUGGGGAGAGGUGAACUGGAAAGGGGGUUAUUUCUCCUGCCCCAGCACAACCUUUGGGAUGCAAUUCCAGGCUCUUGGAGAGCUGCUGGUGUGGCUUUGGCGACGCCGCCUUCGUCCGGCGGCUCCGCGGAUCGUGGGGGGUGUGUCAGUGGCGAUUCCCGGCCUCGGGUCCUUCCAGCGUCGCUCCAGCGUCUCCCAAGUCGUGUCUGGGCGUGGGAAGAGUGGAAUUUGAGCCAGGCCAACCCUGUCCCUGCAGGAGGGGAGGGCAGCUGGAUGCUGGGAGCUGUUGUCAUGUGGCUCCGGCGCAGCAGCAGGCAGGGAAUGGGAAUGGGAAUGGGGCGUGGGAAUGGGUGUGGGAAGGGGUGUGAGCGCCGCAGAGACAAAGGUGAUGCUUGCUUUGGGUCUGGGAUUGAUGGAUGAGCAGCGGGAUCCUUCCCUGGGAAUGGUGUCCUGAUUGGACCUGCAGGUUUUCCAUGGGUUUUCCCACGGGGGUCUCCUGGCUCCGCUGGGCUGUGGGAUUGAGGGGGAAAAUCCCGUUCUGGGUUGGGAAGUGACCUUGGAGGUGUCAGGCGGUCACAGAACACGAGGCCAAACCUUCCCACCUUGUGCUGCUUCCCUGGGAGCGGAGAGAUGCAAUUCCCUGCCUCGGGAAUGGCGAAGGAUGUGAUGAAAUGCCUUGUGCAAGGUCACUCCUGGAAGGGUCCCUCGUCCUUCCCAAGGCUGGCAUUCCUGGCCGAGGGCCUGGGGAGCCUUCCCAGUGCCGGGUGGGGAAACAGGGAGCUGAUUUUAGGGAGGAACAGUGCGGAUUUGGGAGGUGAAGGCUGGUGGCUCCUCUUUUCCAGAGGCCUCUGUGCAGCUGCAUCCCGGGACGUGCUGGGAAUGAAGCUCCCGGCCGGGCUGGGAAUCUCCUCCAGGGCAGGGUGUGGAGAUCCGCAGCUCCCGGGGGUUGCAGCAUCCCUGCUCUUCCCGGGUGGCUCUUUUCCACGUUUUCCCCCCCAAGCCCCUGGAUGGACAGGAGGGGAGGGUGCUGUUGCCAGGGCCCAGCUCCAGGAAAUCCCGUCUGGCUCCCACGUCACUCCAGUCACACCAUCCCCGUGCCCUCCUCCCCCGGGGCCAGCCAGACCCAACUCGCUGCUGCCACGCUCCAAACCAGCCUUGUUUUAAGGGCUUUUUGGGGAUUCUUUUUUUUUUUUCCUUGGGUUUUGGUGUCUUUGUCCCGAUCCUUGACUCCCUCCCCCAAACCUUUCCAAGGGGAAUAUCCCGGGAACUCUGCAGCUCCCUGGGAGGCACCUGCAGGGCCUGGGGCGGGUGCUGAUGAUCUGCAGAUGGCUCCAGGGCCGGGCUUUAAAUUUUUCCAUGACUUUCCCUGGCACAUUGCGACUCCCUGGGCCAGGCACGACCUUGCUUGGGAGUGGGGGGUGGGGUUGGAAUAUGGCUGAUUAUAAAUAAUUUUGGGAAUGCCGUGGAGGGGCAUUUUUUUUUGGGCGUUGCAGCUGCGAAAUGCGGAAAUACGGAAUCCAGUUAUUUUAUCCCACGGAUAAAACAAACAAAAAAAAAUUAAAAAUAAUAAAAA